rnacentral:lncRNA from 1 species
UUAGAAGCUUAGAGGUGAGUUAAUUCAAGUUCAUUUGUCGAGGUAAGUAACUUCAUUCCUAGUAUAUUAGAUAUGUAUAAGUAUUUUGAUAUUAUUAUUAUAAGUAUAAAUGUUUUUAUACUGCUUAAAGGAUUAAUUGAUUUUGAUAACAAAAUUAGUUUUAUGUAAAUGUUUUAAAGCUAAAUUCUCUUUAACAAAGUAUUUUAUAAAUGCUUUUGAAUAUGUAAGUUAUUUUGUUACAUGCCUACUUUUAUGAUUUUAUUUAUAAAAUGUUAUGCAAGCCUAAAUUAUUGUUAUGAACUUUUAUAAAUCUGAUACGAAUGUUUUGUACCCAUGUAUGAUUUCGAUUAUUGAUGAUUGUAUGAGAUUCCUAAUGUUUUGGCUCAUUGUCCAUAGUUAUUCUGAUUCUGAUUCUGAUCGUAAUAUACGAUAUAUCUGUCUGGACCAGUACUGGGUUUAUGUUCUGAGUGUGCACACAAUAUUCUGAUUCUGUUUCUGGCCGGGUCACCGGGACUAUAGGUGACACUAUGUGACAUGAGCUAACCUUUUUGUUUUCUGAAUACGUACUACAUGAUUUGCUUCGUAAGUAAAUAUGCUUUUGAAUAUUCUGAAUUAUUAAGAAUUUAUCUUAUGUUAUCGUGAUAUAUCGUUUCAUGAAAAUUAUGGAUUAUGAUAUAUGUUUUAAACAAAAGAAGGCUUGCAAUAUUUUUGGUAUCGAUGGGCCUAGUGUGUUAGGCAUGGCUUUACUUACUGAGUUGACGGCUCACCCCUCGUCAUUACUUUUUGCAGAUUAAGUUUCUUUUGAGAGGUGUGCUUGGCUUUGGAGCUAAUAAGUUUCAGUUUCCAUUUGCCAUUGAAUAAGAGGAGGAAUAGACUCGUGUUUCUACUUAGUUAUUUCUUUU